UACGGAGGGUGCGAGCGUUAAUCGGAAUUACUGGGCGUAAAGCGUGCGUAGGCGGUUCGUUAAGUCUGCUGUGAAAGCCCCGGGCUCAACCUGGGAAUGGCAGUGGAUACUGGCGAGCUAGAGUGUGUCAGAGGAUGGUGGAAUUCCCGGUGUAGCGGUGAAAUGCGUAGAGAUCGGGAGGAACGCCUGCGGCGAAAGCGGCUCACUGGACCAUAACUGACGCUGAUGCACGAAAGCUAGGGGAGCAAACAGG
rnacentral:rRNA from 1 species